AUCACCUCCCUGGUUAACUCCUCCCUGACAUCCGGCUGCUUCCCGUCAACCUUCAAGAAGGCCCUCAUCUCCCCCCUCCUGAAAAAGACUACACUAGACCCCUCCAUCAUUGGGAACUACAGACCGAAUGAGCUCCUCGAUCCCCAUCAGUCUGGAUUCAGACCAGGCCACUCGACAGAGACCGCACUCCUCUCUGUCAACGAAGCUCUCCACGCAGCCCGAGCAGCCUCCCUCUCCUCCGUCUUAUUACUUCUGGACCUAUCGGCAGCCUUCGACACAGUCGACCACCCCACCCUCCUGUCCUCCCUAUCUGCAAUGGGGAUCUGUGGCACAGUCCUCAAUUGGAUUGAGUCUUACCUCUCAGAUCGCUCCUUCCAGGUAGCCUGGGCUGGUAAAGUAUCUGCGCCACACCCCCUCACCACCGGAGUCCCACAGGGCUCGGUCCUUGGUCCUCUCCUCUUCUCUCUCUACACCCAGUCCCUUGGCCCUGUCAUCACAGCUCAUGGUAUGUCUUACCAUUGCUAUGCUGAUGACACACAACUGUUUCUCUCCUUCCCACCCUCUGACACACAGGUCUCAGCCCGCAUCACUGCCUGCCUGAGUGAUAUUCAGAGCUGGAUGGUCCGCCACCAUCUCAAGCUCAAUCCAGGUAAGACAGAGCUCAUUUAUAUUCCGGCUCUUAACUCCCCUCUCUCUGAUCUCUCUAUCUCCCUAGGUAAUACCAUCCUCACACCAUCACCCUCAACUAGAAACCUUGGCGUGGUGAUGGA